rnacentral:lncRNA from 1 species
CUUUAAUUCACUUCCGUCUUCAUUUUCUUCUACUACCACAUUUCACCAUCCUUACUUAAUAAUACAUCAGAGUACUAUAAUCCCAUAAGGAUCACCGGGGUUUCUAAGAAUAUUCCGAGGGUGAAGGAAAAAGAUGUCAAAGAGGAGUAUGUUUUGUAGUGUCUUGAAAAUUAUGUAAAAUAUGGAUGACCUCGCAUUCCAUCUAGCGAGAUGGAUACUCCCAGCUGUUAUAAAACUUUUACAGUAUAGACUGAUAGAUCAGCUGAACAUAACAGUGGUUGGUAACCCUUCACCAGUCUUCAAUCACCUCCCACGGCCAUCUGCUCUCAAGAGCAGCUCCUUCAAUACUUCUGAAGUUGUGUUCUUCAAUGUUUUCACAACUUUCUCCAGAACAAAUUAAAAAUCAACUCGCAGAAAACGAAAGAGGUCUACUGGUCGAGAUACGUGUUCUGACAAAGGUUAAAAGAAACACUCGAAUAUUAAUUGGAAAUGGAAACUGCCUUGUGAAAGCAUCGCAUCAGAUCAAGAUGAAAACACAACAACUGGGCCAGCAUUUAAAUUGAAUCGUUUGCAACCAGACACCAACGGACAUGAUGUUAGCACUUUGGAGAGCACACACCCGGAGGCAGACCCCAUACUACGUACAUCCCUAGCCUGAUAAGAGCUGCUGGUGGUCUCCGUUCAUAGGAUUAAAAAUCAUCAGCCUCGGUAACUAUACCCUACGCUAGACUGAAGUGGAAUCCAGCACUGUAACAGUUGCAUACACAACAGUAGUGUUUGGUGGUCAGCUUUAUAUAGGAGAUACUAUAUUGCUGAGGUGGUCAGUUGUAUUCGCAGGUUAAUGGGAAUUUGUUCACCUGGGAUAUAGUCCAUUAAUCUGUCUGGACAUUGCAUGGUCAACAUCCACAAAAAGUUCAGUGACCAUUAAAACAUUUGCUAUAUCUUUACAAAUGUAUUAGGUUUAGUGUAAGCCAAUUCAAAAUUAACUAAAUAAUUCUAAAAUAAGUAUAGUAAAACUUGCCUAAGUCGACUGUGUCUAAGUCAAAUAAUUUCUAAGUCGAUCUUAUUUUACAUGCCAACUUGUUGUGUUUUCCAUUAGGUCGAACAGUAUUUCAAUGUCAUUUUGGAUUCGACUUAGGCAAGUUCAACUAUAUUAUAAUUUAAAUACAAGUUACACUUGUAUUCUAGUCUAGGAAAUGCUAUUUAUGUAACAUCUGAGCUGAAAUUAUUCCAAAGCAUUCAAUUAAUUAAAUUUGUUUACAAAAGCCAACAGUUGUGAAAUUUUGAUCCAUUUUUUAAACAGAUCUUUAUUAGCCAAUAAAAAUUCAACAUCACAAAAGCAUGUAUUUCAUAGUUUAGAUAAAUUGUUCUGCUUUUAAAAAACUAAAGUACUCAAAGUGAAUUUUUCCAGAAACGAAUAACAAAAUCAUGGUUAGUAUAAUCAUCAAAAUAUGUGGAAUUGUAACAACUACUAUUAAUAAAAAUUAGGCCUAAAAAUAACAAAACAUGAACAAUAAAGAAAAACAACAGCAACAAAAACAAUAAUAAAUAUGUAGGCCCUAUAGUACUUUUGGAAAAGUAAAUAUUUACACAGCAUAUAAAGUAU